rnacentral:rRNA from 1 species
CCCUUAGAUGUUCUGGGCCGCACGCGCGCUACACUGUUCGACGCAGCGAGUCUUAACCUUGACCGAAAGGUUUGGGUAAUCUUCAGCAAAGUCGAACGUGAUGGGGAUCGAUCAUUGCAAUUAUUGAUCGUGAACGAGGAAUUCCUAGUAAGUGCAAGUCAUCAGCUUGCGCUGAUUACGUCCCUGCCCUUUGUACACACCGCCCGUCGCUACUACCGAUUGAAUGGUUUAGUGAGAUCUCUGGAUUGACGCUGGCUAGGGGGCGACCCUUGGCCAGACUGCUCGAGAAACUGCUCAAACUUGAUCAUUUAGGGGAAGUAAAAGUCGUAACA